AUAACCACUUUCAAAACAAAAAAUCACCUUUAAAGUUCCUACACAUAACCAUUUUCAACCUACCAAGUCACUAAACAUAACUACUUUCCAAACAAAAAAUCACAUUUAAAGUCUCUAUAAUUAACCAUUUUCAACCUAACAAGUCACCAAAAUAACCACAUUCUAAACAAAAAAAUAUCUUUAAAGUCCCUACACCUAACCAUUUUCAACCAUCAAGUCACCAAACAUAACCACUUUCAAAACAAUAAAGCACCUUUAAAGUACGUACACUAAACCAUUUUAAACCUACCAUGUCACCAAACAUAAUCAAAAUCAA
rnacentral:lncRNA from 1 species